rnacentral:rRNA from 1 species
UUGAACGCUGGCGGCAUGCCUUACACAUGCAAGUCGAACGGCAGCACGGGGGUAACCCUGGUGGCGAGUGGCGAACGGGUGAGUAAUACAUCGGAACGUGUCCUGUAGUGGGGGAUAGCCCGGCGAAAGCCGGAUUAAUACCGCAUACGAUCUACGGAAGAAAGCGGGGGAUCCUUCGGGACCUCGCGCUAGAGGGGCGGCCGAUGGCAGAUUAGCUAGUUGGUGGGGUAAAGGCCUACCAAGGCGACGAUCUGUAGCUG